UACGAAGGGUGCAAGCGGUACUCGGAAUUACGGGGCGUAAAGGGUGCGCAGGCGGCCGAGUGGGUGAGGCGCGAAAGCCCGGGGCUUAACCCCGGAAUUGCACCUCAAACUACACGGCUAGAGCAUUGGAGAGGGUAGCAGAAUUCACGGUGUAGCAGUGAAAUGCGUAGAUAUCGUGAGGCAUAGCAGAGGCGAAGGCGGCGCCCUGGGCCAAUAUUGACGCUGAGGUGCGAAAGCGUGGGGAGCAAACAGG
rnacentral:rRNA from 1 species